rnacentral:rRNA from 1 species
GUAGGGUGCAGGCGUUAAUCGGAAUUACUGGGCGUAAAGCGUGCGCAGGCGGUCUGCUAAGACAGGUGUGAAAUCCCCGGGCUUAACCUGGGAACUGCGCUUGUUACUGGCAGGCUUGAGUGUGGCAGAGGGGGGUGGAAUUCCACGUGUAGCAGUGAAAUGCGUAGAGAUGUGGAGGAACACCGAUGGCGAAGGCAGCCCCCUGGGCUAACACUGACGCUCAUGCACGAAAGCGUGGGGAGCAAACAGGAUUAGAUACCCUGGUAGUCCACGCCCUAAACUAUGUCAACUGGUUGUCGGGGAAGCAAUUCCUUGGUAACGAAGCUAACGCGUGAAGUUGACCGCCUGGGGAGUACGGCCGCAAGGUUAAA